GGGAAUGUUUUGGCUUCGACAGGAUAGGAAGCCUGUUAUCGGCAAGUAAGCGGGAGCUUUAAAAUCCAACUUAAAUAUAAUCGGAAACGAUAAUUACGCAUUAGCUGCCUAAGUCGCAGCUCGUCACUGUAAGAAAUUGCCGUUUUUCUUUCAGAUGACGUCAUUAUUAACGGCUUACUCGAAUGUAUGAUUAUAUCAUUGGAGGACAAUUUAUAAUCUCGCUGUCGGACUUUUGUCCGCUUAAUAUUCGGCGGUUAAAGCGUUAAACGGACUAAACUUGUAGAUGAUAGUAGGAACUUUGUAUUUUGGACACGGGUUCGAUUCCCGUCAUUUCCACCA
rfam:Leptotrichia goodfellowii F0264 contig00066, whole genome shotgun sequence.